CCUUAGUUACCAGCACGUUAUGGUGGGCACGUCUAAGGAGACUGCCGGUGACAACCGGAGGAAGGUGGGGAUGACGUCAAGUCAUCAUGGCCCUUACGGCCUGGGCUACACACGUGCUACAAUGGUCGGUACAAAGGGUUGCCAAGCCGCGAGGUGGAGCUAAUCCCAUAAAACCGAUCGUAGUCCGGAUCGCAGUCUGCAACUCGACUGCGUGAAGUCGGAAUCGCUAGUAAUCGUGAAUCAGAAUGUCACGGUGAAUACGUUCCCGGGCCUU
rnacentral:rRNA from 1 species